GCUGUUACUUAAUAUACACAUGCGAGUCUCCGCACCCCCGUGAAAACGCCCUUACCCCAUAUAAUGGAUUAGGAGCCGGUAUCAGGCGCAAAAAUUAGCCCAAGACACCUAGCCCCGCCACACCCACACGGGCCCUCAGCAGUGAUUAACAUUGAAAAUAAGCGCCAGCUUGAAUCAGUUAAAGUAAAAAGAGCCGGCAAAUCUAGUGCCAGCCGCCGCGGUUAUACCAUGUGGCUCAAGCUGACUUCCUCCGGCGUAAAGCGUGAUUAAAGUGAUCUACCCCAGCAAUCAAAUUAAAAUUAAGCUGUGACACGCUUAUUCUUAAGAAGACCACAAACGAAAGUCAUUGCAACCAACUUGAACUCACGACAGUUAGGAAACAAACUGGGAUUAGAUACCCCACUAUGCCUAACCGUAAACUUUUAAUUACCCCCCCCAUCGCCUGGGAACUACGAGCAAAGCUUAAAACCCAAGGGACUUGACGGUACCCAACAUCCACCUAGAGGAGCCUGUCCUAUAAUCGAUAACCCCCGCUUUACCUCACCAUUUUUAGCCUACCAGCCUGUAUACCUCCGUCGUCAGCUUACCCCGUGAGCGUAAACUAGUGAGCUUAAUGCCCCAACGCCAACACGUCAGGUCAAGGUGCAGCACAUAAAAUGGGAAGAGAUGGGCUACACUAUCUAAAAUAGAUAAUACGAAAGACUAUAUAUGAAAACCAGUCAGAAGGAGGAUUUAGUAGUAAGAGGGAACUAAAGUGCCCCCCUUAACCUGGCACUGGGGUGUGUACACACCGCCCGUCACCCUCUUCAAAGCACCAAUUAAGUUAAUUACAUAACUACGCACACUAGAAGAGGCAAGUCGUAACAUGGUAAGUAUACCGGAAGGUGUGCUUGGUUA
rnacentral:ncRNA from 1 species